rnacentral:rRNA from 1 species
UAUAAACCCGGGAAACUGGGUAUAAUCCCUGAUAGUCCUCGAAAGCUGGAAUGCAUCGAGGACGAAAGCUCCGGCGCCUGAGGAUGGGUCUGCGGCCUAUCAGGUAGUAGUGGGUGUAACGUACCUACUAGCCUACGACGGGUACAGGUUGUGAGAGCAAGAGCCCGGAGAUGGAUUCUGAGACACGAAUCCAGGCCCUACGGGGUGCAGCAGGCGCGAAAACUUUACAAUGCCGGCAACGGCGAUAAGGGGACCUCGAGUGCCAGGUUACAAAUCUGGCUGUCGUGAUGCCUAAAAAGCAUUGCAUAGCAAGGGCCGGGCAAGACCGGUGCCAGCCGCCGCGGUAACACCGGCGGCUCGAGUGGUAACCGUUAUUAUUGGGUCUAAAGGGUCUGUAGCCGGCCGGAUAAGUCUCUUGGGAAAUCCAGCAGCUCAACUGUUGGGCUUUCAGGAGAUACUGUUCGGCUCGAGGCCGGGAGAGGUGAGAGGUACUUCAGGGGUAGGGGUGAAAUCUUGUAAUCCUUGAAGGACCACCAGUGGCGAAGGCGUCUCACCAGAACGGACCUGACGGCAAGGGACGAAAGCUAGGGGCACGAACCGGAUUAGAUACCCGGGUAGUCCUAGCCGUAAACGAUACUCGCUAGGUGUCGGCCACGGUGCGACCGUUGUCGGUGCCGUAGGGAAGCCGUGAAGCGAGCCACCUGGGAAGUACGGCCGCAAGGCUGAAACUUAAAGGAAUUGGCGGGGGAGCACCACAACGGGUGGAGCUUGCGGUUUAAUUGGAUUCAACGCCGGAAACCUUACCGGGAC